GAUGAACGCUGGCGGCGUGCCUAAUACAUGCGAGUCGAGCGAACAGACGAGGAGCUUGCUCCUCUGACGUUAGCGGCGGACGGGUGAGUAACACGUGGAUAACCUACCUAUAAGACUGGGAUAACUUCGGGAAACCGGAGCUAAUACCGGAUAAUAUUUUGAACCGCAUGGUUCAAUAGUGAAAGACGGUUUUGCUGUCACUUAUAGAUGGAUCCGCGCCGCAUUAGCUAGUUGGUAAGGUAACGGCUUACCAAGGCGACGAUGCGUAGCCGACCUGAGAGGGUGAUCGGCCACACUGGAACUGAGACACGGUCCAGACUCCUACGGGAGGCAGCAGUAGGGAAUCUUCCGCAAUGGGCGAAGGCCUGACGGAGCAACGCCGCGUGAGUGAUGAAGGUCUUCGGAUCGUAAAACUCUGUUAUUAGGGAAGAACAAAUGUGUAAGUAACUAUGCACGUCUUGACGGUACCUAAUCAGAAAGCCACGGCUAACUACGUG
rnacentral:rRNA from 1 species